rnacentral:tRNA from 1 species
GCCCCGGUAGCUCAACUGGACAGAGCAUCGCCCUUCUAAGGCGAGGGUUACAGGUUCGAGCCCUGUCCGGGGUA